GCCGGCAUGGUGUAGUGGUCUGAGUGUUUGACUAUGACUCUGGAGACCAGGGUUCAAAUCUCCAUUCAGCCA